rnacentral:lncRNA from 1 species
UGCGACAUCUAUCACCCUGUGACACUUAUGCUGCCAAUCUGAGCUUUCUGAACUCCAGCCUUCUUUCUUUCUACUUGGGAUAAGAGCUCAUGUCUCCCACGAUAGUCAAAUUCACUAUGUGGCAGAAGAUGACCUUGAACUCCUGAUCGUGCCUCCAUCUCUCGAGUGCUGGGAUCACAGGUCAGAAGAGGGCACCAUAUCUCAUUACAGAUGGUUGUGAGCCACCAUGUGGUUACUGGGAAUUGAACUCAGGACCUCUGGAAGAACAGCCAGUGCUCUUAACCUCUGAGCCAUCUCUCCAGCCCCCAAGAGCAAAAGCAUCCCUGAGAAUAGCUGAGUGGCUGACUGUCUGUGUUCCUACACUGAGUUCAAGACCAUUGAAACCUCUGGCGGGCUUUUAAGAGCAAGCACUACGCACGCAAAGACAGUGAAAUACUGCCGAGGGUCUAGAGGGGUGGGGUCCAU